rnacentral:rRNA from 1 species
AUUGAACGCUGGCGGCAGGCUUAACACAUGCAAGUCGAGCGGGGUGAUGGUGCUUGCACUAUCACUUAGCGGCGGACGGGUGAGUAAUGCUUAGGAAUCUGCCUAUUAGUGGGGGACAACAUCUCGAAAGGGAUGCUAAUACCGCAUACGUCCUACGGGAGAAAGCAGGGGAUCACUUGUGACCUUGCGCUAAUAGAUGAGCCUAAGUCGGAUUAGCUAGUUGGUGGGGUAAAGGCCUACCAAGGCGACGAUCUGUAGCGGGUCUGAGAGGAUGAUCCGCCACACUGGGACUGAGACACGGCCCAGACUCCUACGGGAGGCAGCAGUGGGGAAUAUUGGACAAUGGGGGGAACCCUGAUCCAGCCAUGCCGCGUGUGUGAAGAAGGCCUUAUGGUUGUAAAGCACUUUAAGCGAGGAGGAGGCUCUUUUGGUUAAUACCCGAGAUGAAUGGACGUUACUCGCAGAAUAAGCACCGGCUAACUCUGUGCCAGCAGCCGCCGUAA